rnacentral:rRNA from 1 species
CACGUAGGGUGCGAGCGUUGUCCGGAAUUAUUGGGCGUAAAGAGCUCGUAGGCGGUGUGUCGCGUCGGCCGUGAAAACCGGCAGCUUAACUGUGGGCGUGCGGUCGAUACGGGCAUCACUGGAGUUCGGCAGGGGAGACUGGAAUUCCUGGUGUAGCGGUGAAAUGCGCAGAUAUCAGGAGGAACACCGGUGGCGAAGGCGGGUCUCUGGGCCGAUACUGACGCUGAGGAGCGAAAGCGUGGGGAGCGAACAGG